GCCUUCGUAGCUCAGGGGAUAGAGCAACCCUCUCCUAAAGGGUAGGUCGCAGGUUCGAUUCCUGCCGAGGGCACCA
rnacentral:tRNA from 1 species